AAUAUUUUAGAUUUUUUACCUUUAAAAAAAGUUAAAAUUCUGGUUUUCAUUGUGCUAAUGAGAUCAUUUUUGUUAUUAUUUUAUCCUGUAUUAAUAAUUCAGGUAUUUCUUUGCAGCAUAAAAAUCCUAUCCUGUAAGUUCCAAGCAGUUACAAAAAAAUUACUAGAAUAUACAUUUAUCUUGCUAUGUUAUUAACUAUUUCCCAGGCAUGCAUCACAGCUUAUAGAAUGCUUGAAAAAAGUGCAUACUAGUGUGAAAAGCCACGUCUUGUACAAAACAGUAUGUUGAAUAAUCCUUGUCAGUUUAGCAAAAAGUUCAACAGAGUAGUGACUGUAUAUGUAUUCAUCUGGAAAUAUAGAAUUUUCCUUCUUUGUGACACAGACUUUUAAAAAAAUCUCUACAGGCCAGUGACAUAUCAGGCAUUUCGGGAAUGUACACUGGAGACCACAGUUCAUGCCAGCGGCUGGAAUAAGAUUUUGGUGCCUCUGGUUUUGCUACGACAAAUGCUUUUGGAAUUGACAAGACGUGGUCAAGAACCUUUGAGCGCACUGCUGCAGUUUGGCGUGACAUAUCUGGAGGACUAUUCGGCAGAGU
rnacentral:sRNA from 1 species